GAUGAAGAACGCAGCGAAAUGCGAUAAAUAAUAUGAAUUGCAGAAUUCAGCGAAUCAUCGAGUUUUUGAACGCACAUUGCGCCCUCUGGUAUUCCGGAGGGCAUGUCCGACCGAGCGUCGCAUCACCACUCAAGCUUUCGGCUUGGUGAUGGGGAUUGCGGGGAAAGAGCGUCGCUGCAACUCGCAACGCGCACAUCUCGCAACCCCGAGAUGCAGUGGCGGCCCCCAGCGCGGCUCCUCCUUAGCGCAGUAGAACUUACCGCUACGCUUCGGGACGCCUGGGUGGCCUGCCGUAAAACCGCAGACCUCAGCGUCACACCCUCUACAGGUUGGCCUCGGGUCGGACAAGAUUACCCGCUGAACUUAAGCAUAUCAAUAAGCGGAGGA
rnacentral:misc_RNA from 1 species